rnacentral:rRNA from 1 species
UACGGAGGAUGCGAGCGUUAUCCGGAUUUAUUGGGUUUAAAGGGUGCGUAGGCGGCUUUUUAAGUCAGCGGUGAAAUUUUGCAGCUUAACUGUAACAGUGCCGUUGAUACUGGGGAGCUAGGAUUUGGUUGCUGUGGGUGGAAUGUGUGGUGUAGCGGUGAAAUGCUUAGAGAUCACACAGAAUAUGAUUGCGAAGGCAGCUCACAAAGCCAAGAUUGACGCUGAGGCACGAAAGUGUGGGGAUCAAACAGGAUUAGA